rnacentral:lncRNA from 1 species
UUAAAAUUGCUUCUAUUAUAGACGCGUUAAUUAGUGAAGAUAACAUAGUAAAAUAUGUUACCGACCGUCCCUAAAGCAAGUGACAAAGGGCUUGGCGGUUGGUAUCCGAGACCCAAGUUCGAAUCCUAGUUGAUUCACAUUUCUAGCUAAGUUUAUUUCUAAAUGAAUUAAACGAAGCGGGUAGCGUGCUACCUAUCUCUCAAAAAAAACAUAGUAAAAUAUGUUUGGUUUGUUGUACUGAAAAUUACUUUCAGAUCAAAAAAUAAAUUUUCGCUGAUU